CAAUUUUGCUAAACAUUUAAACAUCAUAACAUUCAGAAAAAAAACAUAAAAUUCCACAUCAAUUCACAAUUCAGAAUAAUGGUCCUAUUACGCAUGACCGCUAGGGCCGGGCAAUGAAGUUAUAUCUACCGCAGUCAUAUACCCUUGAAAGCGUCUCGGCUACGGAAUGUUUGUUGGUCUGUAAGGGUACACUAUAGCUUUUCAAACGCCGACACAAAACCUUCUCUGGAGAUAGUUUCGAAGCGCCACUGAAUGGGCAUUUUACUUGUCUGUAUAGGAAUGCCCCAUCUGAACCGGGAUCGACGUCCAUCACUAGCAGGUGGUCUACAGCAGGGAGCCUGCAUAGGAGUGGAGAGAAGAGGAGAAGAGAGGACAGAAGAGGAGAGAUGAGAUGAAAGGGGAGAGGACAUAGUUUGAAGAGGAGAGGAGAGGAGAGGUGAUGAAAGAGGAGACGGUGGUUUGAACAUGAUUUUGGUUAGUAGAGCCUUCCUGGUUGGAGCUCAAAUGUGCACACAGAGCUAUCAUCGACUAAACACAAACUGUACGACUUGAUCUAGACAGCGUGUUUCUUUGUCUCCGUUUUAUUAUUAUUUUUAUUAUUAGGGGUUCAGCAACGAAGCUGGUGAAACCCUAUUGUAUUUGUUGUCGUUAAUUAUUAUUUUCCUUCUGCUGAUUUAGUGAAAAAUACAAAUUCCUGUGAGAUGGUAAGGGUGC
rnacentral:lncRNA from 1 species